AUGAUCAUUCCUUUGUUGGAUCUAGAGAAGGCCACAGACAAUUUUGAUAGAACUCGUGAGGCAGGAGGCGGAGGACACGGUGUUGUGUAUAAAGGAAUUUUAGACCUACAGGUAGUUGCCAUCAACAAAUCCAAGAUCGUCGUACAGAGAGAAAUCGAUGACUUCAUAAACGAGGUUGCAAUUCUUUCUCAAAUCAACCAUAGAAAUGUUGUGAAGCUAAUUGGAUGUUGUCUGGAGACAGAAGUCCUGUCACUGGUUUAUGAGUUGAUUUCAAAUGGUACUCUUGAUCACCAUCUUCAUUUUGAAGGCCCGAUGUUACUAUCAUGGGAUGAUCGAACAAGGAUUGCGCAUGAAGUUGCUAGAGCUCUUUCUUAUCUUCAUUCAUCUGCUUCGAUGCCAAUUUAUCACAGGGAUAUUAAAUCAUCCAACAUACUUAUUGAUGAUAAUUUAACAACAAAGGUAUCAGAUUUUGGAGCUUCGAGAUACAUCCCAAUUGACAAAACAGGGUUGACUACAGCUGUGCAAGGAACAAUAGGCUACUUAGACCGUUAG
rnacentral:rRNA from 1 species